AUUGAACGCUGGCGGCAGGCCUAACACAUGCAAGUCGAGCGAGCGGCGGACGGGUGAGUAAUGUAUGGGGACUGCCCGAUAGCGGGGGAUAACUACUGGAAACGGUGGCUAAUACCGCAUACUAUCGGAUAACCCAUAUGGGAUUAGCUAGUAGGUGGGGUAAAGGCUCACCUCGGCGACGAUCUCUAGCUGGUCUGAGAGGAUGAUAAGCAACACGGGGAAUGAGAAACGGCCAAGAAUCAUACGGAGGAAGCAGUGGGGAAGAUUGCACAAUGGGCGCAAGCCUGAUGCAGCCAUGCCGCGGGGAUGAAGAAGGCCUUAGGGUUGUAAAGUACUUUAAGCGGGGAGGAGUUACCCGCAGAAGAAGCACCGGCUAACUCCGUGCCAGCAGCCGCGGUAAUAC
rnacentral:rRNA from 1 species